GCAUGUUGAACCGACCCAGCCUGUUUAAACGGAAAGGACAGAGAUCCUAGCUGUUCAAUGUAUAUAAAAAAAUCAGUUCAGACCCAGAGAGAGGGAGAGAAAGAGAGAGAAAGAGAGAGAGAGAGAGGGAGGGAGGAGGGAGAGAGAGAGAGAGAGAGAGAGCGUGUAUGUGGGAGAGAGAGAGAGAGUGAGUGUGUGCAUGUGUGAGUGAGUGUGAGAGAGGAAGCGAGAGAGAGAGAGAGAGUGAGAGAGAGAGGGGGGGUGGUUGGGCACACAAAAAAGGAAAAAAGAAGAAUUUGGUCUCUAUGUAUAUAAAGAUGGCCACGUUAGCCAACGGACAAGCAGACAAUCCCAGCCUCGGUGGCAACCACACUAACCCCAACCCCAGCAACGGGCACAUGAACGGAUUAAACCACAGUCCAGGGAACGGCACCACCAUCCCCAUGAAGGACCACGAUGCCAUCAAGCUCUUCAUUGGGCAAAUCCCUCGCAACCUGGACGAGAAGGACCUCAAGCCGCUCUUCGAAGAGUUCGGGAAGAUCUACGAACUGACGGUGCUGAAGGACAGGUUCACCGGCAUGCACAAAGGCUGUGCCUUCCUAACAUACUGUGAAAGGGAGUCCGCUCUUAAAGCCCAGAGUGCACUGCAUGAACAGAAGACACUGCCAGGGAUGAACAGACCAAUCCAGGUGAAACCAGCGGACAGCGAGAGCCGAGGAGAAGACAGAAAACUCUUUGUGGGCAUGCUCAACAAACAGCAGUCAGAAGAUGAUGUCCGCAGGCUAUUCGAAGCAUUUGGGAACAUUGAGGAAUGCACGAUCCUUCGGGGACCAGAUGGAAACAGCAAAGGGUGUGCGUUUGUGAAAUAUUCCUCACAUGCGGAAGCCCAGGCAGCCAUUAACGCCUUGCACGGAAGCCAGACAAUGCCGGGAGCCUCAUCGAGCCUGGUGGUCAAGUUUGCAGACACGGACAAGGAACGUACAAUGCGGCGUAUGCAACAAAUGGCCGGGCAGAUGGGCAUGUUCAACCCAAUGGCGAUCCAGUUCGGAGCAUAUGGCGCCUACGCACAGGCACUGAUGCAGCAACAGGCGGCCAUCAUGGCAUCCGUGGCUCAAGGAGGAUACCUAAACCCCAUGGCCGCUUUCGCAGCAGCUCAGAUGCAGCAGAUGGCAGCUCUCAACAUGAACGGCCUGGCCGCCACACCCAUGACGCCCACCUCCGGUGGCAGCACGCCUCCAGGCAUCACCGCACCAGCCGUGCCUAGCAUCCCCUCUCCCAUUGGGGUGAACGGUUUCACUGGCCUACCGCCACAGGCUAAUGGGCAACCUGCCGCAGAAGCUGUCUUUGCCAAUGGCAUCCAUCCUUACCCAGCACAGAGUCCCACUGCAGCUGACCCCUUGCAGCAAGCCUACGCCGGAGUGCAGCAGUAUGCAGGUCCUGCUUACCCUGCUGCCUAUGGCCAGAUAAGCCAAGCCUUCCCACAGCCGCCUCCCAUGAUCCCACAGCAACAGAGAGAAGGACCAGAGGGCUGUAACCUGUUUAUCUACCAUCUGCCCCAGGAGUUUGGGGACGCAGAGCUGAUGCAGAUGUUCCUGCCAUUCGGUAAUGUCAUCUCCUCGAAAGUGUUUGUGGAUCGGGCGACAAACCAAAGUAAAUGCUUUGGCUUUGUGAGUUUUGACAAUCCUGCUAGUGCCCAAGCUGCCAUCCAGGCUAUGAACGGCUUCCAGAUUGGCAUGAAGAGACUGAAGGUGCAGCUGAAAAGGCCAAAGGAUGCUAACCGCCCCUACUGAAGCAUUGUGGGAAACACUGGAUAAGCAAGGUCUAGCACAGGGCCAGUCAAAUCCACCACAGUCUCGCGCUGAGCUAGGAAAAAAGUUCACGUAAUGACAGGAAAGUGGAGAAUACAGUUCCCCAGUCCGGCAUCAGCUGAAUGGGCCACCUUUAGAGAAAUAUAUAUAUAUAUAUUAAAUAAAUAUAUAUAGGAACGAGAACUGUUGGAUUACACCUUUAACAUAUCAGCAAAUUAUCAGUCGAGCUGAAACAAAAAAACAACAACUUCAGACUUACUCUCUUUCUGAUUGUUCAGACUGUCAACAUUUUGCUCCAAGAAAAGUCACGUCGGCUGAGAUUUCGAAGAAGGAUACCCGCUUGAGAAAACAGAACAAAACGAAACCCAUCACAACAAAGAAACAAGCAAACAAGCAAACAAACAAAACGAUUGCGAGAGGAAGCAGAUCGACUCGGAUUUCUGCAGAGAAACGGAUGUCACCACAGCGGCUUUUCUUCCAAACAGGAAAUGCAAACCUUGAUACUGACAAAGGAGUGCCUGUUUGCCACCUGGGAUGCGGUUGCUAUGGAUACCCCCAUGGUACCCAUCACUCAAGCAUCUUUAUCUGUCAUUCCUUAGCUAUAUAGGGACCAAAGGACAUAACUUUUUAUCGCAGACUUGUAGCUGUAUGUAAAUUAAAGAAGUUCUUUCUUUUUUUUUUCUCUGAGCUGUUCCUAUAACAGUUUUCGAGAGAGCAAUUAUAUGAAAUAUGUAAAAACUGAAAAAAAAAUAUGCUUAAAACGCUUUUAAACACAAAAAAAAACCGGCAAGAUAAUAGUUCUUUGAUACUUGGGGCGGAUCUUUGGUUAUACCUUAAUUAGAGUCUAUGAAACUUUCAUAUGGUUUUCUGUAUAAUAUGUACGGAUGGAGUGGUUCGAAGGGACAGGUUGAGGUGGAAAUACAAUGGCGGAAAGGCAAGGAAAUAAAAUAGAAUACUGGAAAAGGUGGAAAUGAAAAGUAGACAAGAAACAGAAAGGGAAAAAGAAAAAAGAAAAACAGGUUUGUAAAUGCUUCUGACUCCCCCCCUUCUCUCUCUCUCUCUCCCACAAAAUCCUAAUAGUUGUACAGAAUUUAAAAGAUGAAAAAAAAAGUAAGAAAAAAGUUUUAAAAUACCUAUAUAAUAGGGAAGAAGGGAUUAGAUGACAUUAAAAAAGCAGAAAAAAAGCAAAAAAAUAUACAUAGACGUUAGCAUUCAUGCUACAAAAAACAAAGAUGUUGUAGAACUGUAACUUUUGUAGAGUUUAGAUUGAAAUCCGUUCCUGCUCUCAGCCAACCGCUGUUGGAAAGCUGUGUCUUAUUUUUUGGGGGGUUUUCGGGGCGGGAUCAGGGUGGGAGGGGAAGGGUUGGGGAAGGCCAAGAAGACGACGGCUUAAACUCGGCAGCUUUUUUAACCGCAAGCAUUCCAGCUAAUAAUCAAUAAAUAAACGAAUUACGCAAACAGAAACAACUUUUUCCAUUUCCUGUAGACCGGCGACGCUGAAACGGGAAACAUCUAACGGCUGUCUUCUUACAAAACCCCCCUCC